ensembl:processed_transcript
GGUGGUACAAAAGACCAGAGUAAAGCCACGAUGUUUCACAUUGUUGUUUUUGACAAAACUAAUGAGGUAGAAGUUGUGCCUUCCAUCUGGAUUAAAAAUGGAGAGUGCUUGUGGCCUCCAAAUAAAACUGAUAUAGCCAAAGCUGUCAGAUUGCAAGAUUGUCCUGGAGACGAAUGGAAAGCCCAUAAGGCCAGAAUUAUCUUCACUUCACAUGACUACAAUGAAGCAAGACGAAAAUUACCCCAAGCUGUUGAACAGACUGAUGUUGGAAGUGAUGAGGGGAACUAACCACGUGCUUUUAAAAGAAAAAGAAUGCCUAAAAACAAUCUAUUGCCUGGGGAGGAUGAUUCAGAGACAGAAAGCAUUGUGAAAGAAAAAAAGUCAAAAAAAAGGAAAAUAUUCAUUGCCCAAUGCUCCAAAAAUCAUCAAGCAGCACAAAACUUUAGCAGUAAACCCAGUAAAGGAAAACAGUCCAGGGUUCAACCCAACAGGCCGCAUCACUGCUGUUUGUCACUAUGAUGACAUGGAAGGCAGCGUGGAAGGAACAAAGUCACAAAACAGAAACUUUUCAUUGCCCAAUGCUAGGAGUAUUGCUAGAUAGGACAACACUAAUGAGUUAGAACCAGGAAAGCAAAGCAGCCCCAAGCUCCAAGUACUCAAUCAAACCACUCCUUCCCACCACCUAAAGGGCCACAUCACUUCUUACGACUAUGAAAGAGGCCACAGCAGUCCUGAGCUUUUUCCAAGUGAUGAUAGUACUCCUGAGCUUUACUUAAAAGGGCACAGCACUCCUAAACUUUACUCAAGAGGCUGCAGCAGUCCUAAUCUCUACUCCGGAGGCCAUAGCAGUGAUCACUUUUACCCAAGAGGACACAACAGCCAAAAGCUCC